ACAAAAUAAAAAUAAAAAAAUUAUAACAAAUGUUAAUUCAAUUAUAUUUUUUGUAAGGAUUAUUUGCAACACUAUUCAAACGCCGAUUACGUCCACAUUUUUUGGAAUUUCUUUUACACUACAGUUGGCAUUUAAUAUCUAAGGCGAAAAAGAAAUCUUCAAUUACAUACGUCAUCUACAGCAGCAAAAGCAGGAGAACAAUGUGUUUGGCGAGUUUUGUGAAAUAAUUAGGGGUUUCACAUAGUCACCAAGUUAUAAGUUAGAACGAUCCGAAAACAUAGCGUUC